rnacentral:lncRNA from 1 species
GUCUAUUUGUGGAUUGCCCCUCACUCAUAGAACAUCCCACUUGGGUUGUCAUGAUCUUUAACUCUUGAUUGUGAGAUCAAUAAGUACUAUUGGAGCACCUUGCUCUGAUACCAUUUGUUGCCCAAGGUGACAAGCCAAGGAGGGGGGGGGGGGUGAAUUGGUUUCUCUUAGUUUUAACUAUCUUACUUAUGUCAAUUGAUGAGUUAGUAUAAUUAAACAAAGCACAAUACAAACAACAAGAAGUAUAGUGGUUCGGUGCUCUCCUAAGCACCUACGUCCACUCCCCAAGCGACCCCUUGGGAAUUCACUAUAAUCCCGCGGAUUACAGUUGGAUUGUUUUCCGGACUCACAAUCCAAAAACCUUUACACUUUGGUUUUCCGGGUUCACCAAAAACCUAUGUUGGUUUUACGGGCUCACCAACGAACCUAUGUUGGUUUUUCGGGCUCACCAACGAACCUUUACAAUUGGUUUUACGGGUUCACCAAACAACCUACACCGUUGGUUUUGCGGGCUUACCAACUAACCUUUACAAGGAGUUUAAUAAACGAAGUAAGAAGAUUUAAGCUCCUAGAUGAGCAAAAUAUAACAAUAUAAUCUACAAAGAAGAGUUUGGAGAAUAGUUAUCGCUUGAUGUGACUUCUCUCUUCUUUGUCAAGGAUGCUUCACUCUUCAAGGAUGG